UAACAAGCUCUUCUUCAGUGAUAUCUGUCUUAUUUCAAAGCUUUUCAGAAACCCAAGAAACCCAGAGGACCAUUCCAAUCUCUGAGUACAUUUUCCUCAUAUAUGAAAGCCUGAAAUAUGAGGGAUUAAAAUAUGAGUGUUUGGGGGUUUUUAAAACACAUUUGGAACUUGUGGAAUGCAUACUAUUCAACAGUUUUAUGAGGAUGGGAUGGAGAAAACAACAAGUGAUUACCCAGCUAACAUCAUAUACAUGGUUCUAAGGAAAGGUUUAAGGUGGUCUCACUGAUCUAUCACCAUGUGUAAAAUGAGUACAUACUUAAACCAUUGGGUGCCAGAGAGGAGUUGGAUGAGCAGUGCUCCUGGGGACACCCUGUCACUAUCACCCUCCCACCUGGAUGAUAAACUGUGUGAGAAUUAUCAGCAAUCACACUCAGUUUAAUUCCUUUUGCCAGGCUCAAUUUCAUUCAGAGCUUGCCACACAUUUUCAUGUUUCCUACUAUGGGCCUUAAAUCUAAGGAACGUUUUCUUAUCUAAUUCUGUAGGACCUGUCUUUUGCUAACACAUGGGAGUGCAGAUAUGUUUUAUAGAUGUUUCCUAGGAUGGAAACCAGGAAAAUGAAGAAAACUGCUCUUCCUCAGCAGGUAUACUGAGACCUUUGUUGAGACCUCUGAGCCUUGACUGGCAGAUGACCCCAUCCUUAGCAGCAUCGCAUUGAAUUGUCAUGGGACGGCAAAGUUACAGAGCCAUAGCACUGAGUAUUUCCCCUCAAUGGAUCCUGCUGAAGAGGAGGAGUGAGAGAGCAGCUUGGUGGGCCACUGGCAGCCAGCUAAGGUCAACCACCACUGGUGAACCCUUUUCUAGAAUCAGAGGUACCUGCAAGCAGAGAGAGACAUUUCAUUCUCUUCCACAGCCUUGUCUUCAACAACUGGGAGAGGAGAUUUUGUUGGUUUUGUUGUUGCUCUUGUCAUUGUUUCUGAUAAAACUGAUGCAUGAUUUACGUGGUGACAUAUUCUUGAAGGGAAAAUUCCUCAGGAGCAUUCUCUAUAAAUUAAGUUGUCAAACUUUAUAAAACCAUCUGACAUAUGUAUUCAGACAAACACCACUCCACCUGAAACCCAUUUACUGUGUCCAAAUUACAAUUUAGAUUGUUGAUAUUUUCCAGUAAUUUUGUUUCCGUACAAUUUUUGCACUUCAUGUGAGCCAAGGAAACAAACACUUAAUAUGCGAAGUCAAUAAUUAAUUGUUCCACUAAUUAAAGAUUGCAGUCUAAUCAAUGGAUAAGGUUAACCUAGCUGCUACACUAUUACCACAUAGCGGAAAUGAUGGCAACCUGUUGUAUUAUCCAUCAAUGCAGAGAUAGAUACCAGCAGGAUUUACGCUACACAACUUUGCACAGCUGAGCAAAAGCUAAACCAAAUUAGGCAAUAGUCAACUGAUCAUUCAUCAAUUUCUGUUUCAACCAAACAGACUGAAAGAAAGCACCAGAGAGGUGACAAAU